CCUACGGGUGGCAGCAGUGGGGAAUAUUGGGCAAUGGGCGCAAGCCUGAUCCAGCAACGCCGCGUGAAUGAAGAAGGCUUUCGGGUUGUAAACUUCUUUUCUGAGGGACGAAGAGAGUGACGGUACCUCAGGAAUAAGCCACGGCUAACUACGUGCCAGCAGCCGCGGUAAUACGUAGGUGGCAAGCGUUAUCCGGAUUUAUUGGGUGUAAAGGGCGUGUAGGCGGGAAAGCAAGUCAGAUGUGAAAACGCAGGGCUCAACCCUGGGCCUGCAUUUGAAACUGUUUUUCUUGAGUGCUGGAGAGGCAAUCGGAAUGCCGUGUGUAGCGGUGAAAUGCGUAGAUAUACGGAGGAACACCAGUGGCGAAGGCGGAUUGCUGGACAGUAACUGACGCUGAGGCGCGAAAGCGUGGGGAGCAAACAGGAUUAGAUACCCCAGUAGUC
rnacentral:rRNA from 1 species